GAUGUGAUACAGAAGCAGAAGCUGAAUGACAGCUGAUUUUUCUGCAGGUUUUCUGCAGCGCUCAUGCAAAUGGUGUACGGCUGUUCAGCAAAAUAAGACGACUUUUUCACGUUCCUUUGGCUUUUACCCAUGACCAUUUUUUUUCUGCUUGUUGGCAGAACGAUGGAUCAGAAAUGCAGACUGGACUAUCUCACUGGCUGAUUCAUUGGCCGAACGGUGACAUUUCAAACCCACAAGCUCGUCUGGAUGUUAAUUGUCAGGGGGACUAAAGCUUGUUGGAAUACGGGCUGUCUCUUUCCAUAUUAUAUGCACUUUAUGUAGUUGAGUCUUGCAGUAUCUCUAUAAUUCACUCUUCUGCCAUGAGGUGGGAUGGUGCAACGUCCUGUUCUUCAGAUGAACCGAGAGUGCUGCCCAGAUGGUGAAUGAGACAAGGGAUUCACUGCUUCUGACUGAUAAGAAUCCUGGGCAACAGUUAGCAGGCCAGUAUUUUCUGAGAAAGAAUUUAUUAUAAUGCUUUUGAGAUCUGUCAAUGUUUCUGUUAACACCAGAACACUCUGGGGUGUAUUUUCAAGCCAGGGUUUCCAGUCCUGCUAACAAGCAGUGGAGUUUGUGCACAUACCUCCAUGGGCUCACGUGGAAACGUACGUGAAGCAUCAGAAGAUUCCUGGAUGCGUGUUUAAGGCUUACUGCAUUCUCUAAAGACUGAAAGAGGAUUUUCCUAAUGCUGUAAGUUUUGAUCUUAUGGAAUGUAUGUACUGGGAGAAAUUACUCCUGGUGGCUGGAAUAAAUGCUGGAGUUGUUCAGCGCAGAGCUGUCAUGGUUCUGGUCUGCCUGGUGUGACAGUGGAAGAGCCUGGGCUAUUCUGGAGAGAACUCUGUUCAAUGUACUUAAGCAGGAGAAUGUCCCUGUGGUGUUAUUCAGAAGUUAUUCUAAGCAACCUUACCUCAGGAUCUUGUUUCUCAAAUCCAGACAAGACAGAACUGUGCAUGCGUGUGCGUAGAAUAUGAUGCUGGUGUUUGGUUUUCAUGAGAUUCACCACAUUAGUGCCUUCUUGCUCUGAAGUUGGCUCUUGGAAUGCAAUGAUUCAGUGUCUCGCUGGCAGUGUGACAAGUAGGACUUGGUUCCUGCAGGUCUGUUUCCUUGCCUGGCUUUAUUUCCACUGCUGGGUAACUGUCUCUGCAAGAGUUGCUUAACAAAAGCAAUGAAAUGCACAUUUUGCUGGAAAA